UGUAUGGAUGCUCAAGAUUAA
rnacentral:siRNA from 1 species